GUCUACGGCCAUACCACCCUCAACACGCCUGAUCUUGUCUGAUCUCGGAAGCUAAGCAGGGUCGGGCCUGGUCCGUACUUGGAUGGGAGAAACACCUGCUGCAUUUU
rnacentral:rRNA from 1 species